UUGGUCUAUGACCNUAUUAGUUAUUGGUGAGGUAAAGGCUCACCAAGACAAUGACGGGUACUGGUUUGAGAGGAUGACAGCACACCGGACUGAGACACGGUCCGGACUCCUACGGGAGGCAGCAGUAGGGAAUAUUGCACAAUGGGGGAAACCCUGAUGCAGCAACGCCGCGUGGAGGAUGAAGCAUUUCGGUGUGUAAACUCCUUUUAACAAGGAAGAAAUUGACGGUACUUGUUGAAUAAGCACCGGCUAACUCCGUGCCAGCAGCCGCGGUAAUACGGAGGGUGCAAGCGUUACUCGGAAUUACUGGGCGUAAAGGGUAUGUAGGCGGACUAAUAAGUCUGUUGUGAAAUGCUAAGGCUUAACCUUGGAAUUGCAAUGGAAACUGU
rnacentral:rRNA from 1 species